rnacentral:lncRNA from 1 species
AUCGGGGAGACAUCCAGCAUCCCCUUCCCUGCCCAGGCCUCCACCAAGUCCCCUGGGACAGCUGGAGACAACAUCCUCCACCCACACCUCCGGGGCAGCCUGGGGUACUGGGGCCCUUCCAGAGGGAGGGUGGGAAAAGAUGAGGCCUCCUGCAGCUGAAGUGAAAGAGCUGGGCCCGUGGCCAAGCCCCCUGCCCCUGUCAGCACCUUUCCAACUCCUCGAAAAAGAAACUGGAGCUGGGAAGGCGGCCUUUGCCUGGCUCCUCUGCAGGUGAGCUCAUGUCUUGGGGGUUCCUGGGUUUGUUCCUUUUGAGGGG